GUACAUCUCAAGGGAUGCUUAGGUGA
rnacentral:piRNA from 1 species